GAUGAACGCCGGCGGCGUGCCUAAUUCAUGCUAGUCGAGCGAAGCGGGGACGGGUGAGUAACACGUGGAUAACCUCUUAUAAGACUGGGAUAACUUCGGGAAACCCGAGCCAAACCGGAUACCUAUAGAUGGAUCCGCGCCGCAUUAGCUAGUUGGUGAGGUAACGGGUUACCAAGGCAACGAUGCGUAGCCGACCUGAGAGGGUGAUCGACCACACUGGAGCAGAGACACAAGCCAGACUCCUACGGGAGGCAGAAGUAGGGAAUCUUACGAAAUGGGCGAAAGCCUGACUGAGCAACGCCGCGUGAGUGAUGAAGAUAUGCGGAUCAUAAAACUCUGUUAUUAGGGUAGCGAUACCUAAUCAGAAAGCCACGGCUAACUACGUGCCAGCGGCCGCGGUAAUAC
rnacentral:rRNA from 1 species